rnacentral:rRNA from 1 species
UACGUAGGGGGCAAGCGUUGUCCGGAUUAUUGGGCGUAAAGAGCGUGUAGGCGGCCAGACAGGUCAGCUGUGAAAACUCGAGGCUCAACCUCGAGACGUCGGUUGAAACCGUCUGGCUAGAGUCCGGAAGAGGAGAGUGGAAUUCCCGGUGUAGCGGUGAAAUGCGCCAGAUAUCGGGAAGAACACCCGUGGCGAAGGCGGCUCUCUGGGACGGUACUGACGCUGAGACG